rnacentral:lncRNA from 1 species
AACCCGAGCUCCGGACCUCAGCAGUUCCUUACCUCGCUCAGCUCGGCUGAGGAGUCGUUGCCAUAUUUCACCGCAACUCCAGAAUUCAUGCCUGCACUUUUCAGAGCCGGGCUCGUCCCCAGACCUCGGAGCGUAGGAGCCGGGCUUAGGCUGGAUAGCCUGGGCUUGCUCCCCGCCGGCACAUUUCAGUCUAGACAGCCAUUUUCACCCAGGACAGCAGCGAGGCCAGAAAGGAUGGAGAAGCUCGAUACCGUAAGUCAGGCUGGAAUCUCACCAGCGAGCCAUAGCUGCAGGAGACUGGGCAGAGGGUUGCGCUCGCAGCAGCUGCAGCGGCCGAGCCGGCGCCGGGACCCACCCGCGCGUCCACCGCGGAGUCCCGGAGUGAUGCCACCCUCCGCGCCGCCUCGCCCCUCCUAUGGUACCACGCAGAUCCCCAUUACCCGGCAGGCGGGCAGUUCGCGCCGGCGCCCAGCAGAGCUCGGGUAUCCUCCGGGAGAAGCCUGGGCACCAGUGCGAGAACGAUAUGUGCCUCCGGUUCCCGGGAGGAAAGAGCUGGAGAGAGCCGGAGCUGAGCAGCACUUCACGCCGAAGUUUCCCCCUUUGAAUCGUCUGGAGUUGUUUCUUUAAAAUACAUCAGAUUCUUCUCCAUGGAGGGAAAACUGAUCGUGCAAAUUAGAGAUUUGGAAACCCCCGCAGGAAGAGUUUUUUAAAAGGCUUCCCUGAUCGUCACUUUGUUGAAAAAGGCAUGGCAGAGAACUUCUAAAGGCAUUCCAGCUGGUCCUGGUCAUUCCCGCUGAUUCAUGCCAUUCUGGAGGUGGAGGACUGGUGGUUUCUGCUGGAUCAUGCCAUCGCUGUUGAUUCCUGGUUGGUAUCCUAAUACUACUUAACUGGACUGCUGUUAUCCUGACCAAUGAAGUAUGGAAUUACCCCCAAAGAACUACUUCUAAACAGGUCCACAUCCCCUUGUCCUCUUUACCAUCUUUUCUCCCCUGCCUUUGGACAGUUUACUCUCUCUCUGCUUCCUGACCAUCAUGACAUGACCAGUCUCCUCUUCCUGCACAAGGUUCUGUUGCCAUGAUCUUCUGUCUUUCCCUGGGCUCAGAACCAGCAGAGCCCAUGAUCAUGGAUGGACUGGGAUCCCUGAAACAGGUCGUUUGGGCUGUUCUAAGCCUCUCGUGUUUCAACGUGAAUUUUGGAAUCAAGCUGCUGGUAUGCAAAGAGGCCAGAAUUUGGAGACAUUUACCUCUUAAUAUUAAGCCUGCUGACCCACAUAUGGGGGCUGUCUUUUCAUUUACUUGGGUCUUUGCUUCACUUGGGGUUUUAAACAGUUUUUUAUGUCUCUCAUUAAAUUUAUUACUACGUAUUUUAUUUCUCCUCCUCUUCCUCUUCCUUCUUCUUCCCCACCCCCUCUCUUAGUUUGUUUGUUUGUUUGUUUGUUUGUUUGUUUGUUUGUUUGUUUUUAGACAGGAUUUUUCUGUGUAGCGCUUGCUGUCCUAAACUCUCUCUGGCCUCAUCCUCAGAGAUCUGCCUGCCUCUGUUGCUUGAGGGUUGGAAUUAAAGGGGUGGGCCACCACCACCUGGCUUUUACUUUUUUUUUUAAUGAUCUAAUGUAAAUAGGCUUUAUUUAUUUAAUUUUCAGAUAAUUCAUUGCCAACAUAUAAAAAUCAACUAGUUUAUGUUAUGUUGAUUUUAUAUCCUGAAAUCUUCUCUAACUUUUUUUAUUUCUUAAUUGUCUGCAUGCAAGAUCUUCUGCAAAGAAAGGUAUGAGGAAUGAAGCUCUUUACAAACACUGCCAGACUCGUCAUAACCCUCGUAUAUGCAAGGCUACCAUGGCAGAGUCCUCUCAAAAGCUCACAUUGAAACUUAGCCCCCUCUGCAACAGCAGUAAGAAGUAUGGCUUUAGUGGAGCUCUGAAGUCACAAAUAAGAUUGCCGCCUAUUAUAUAAGAAGGCUUGGAAUUAAAGGGAAACUUUCUCCUUGUCUGCUUUUCCACUGUGUGGAUACAGCAUUUCUCCUCUUCAGAAGAUGUGGUAACAAGGUGGUCUUCGAUACACACCAAUCCUACAGGCAACUUGAUCUUGUACUUCCAAGUCUCGAGAACUCUGAGAAGAAAAUUUCUGUUCCUUAUAAGUCUCCCCGAUCUGUGGCAUUCUGUGACAGCAGUGUAUCUAAUGAUAGCACCUUUGGCUGGAGGGAGAGUUUGCAGAGAUGUUUUGCAUGUUAGAUUUUCCAUCACUGGGACAGAUACCAGAGAAACAAUUUAAAGGAGGAAAGAUUUAUUUUAGCUCAGGGUUUCCAUGGUUUAGUUCAAGCAUAAUGGCUCUGUGUAUCUGGGCUAUGGUUAGGCAGAAUACCAUGACAACAGAGAGCUCAUAGCAUUAUAACCAAGAGGCCAAGAGAGGUAAGGAAAGAGUCUCAGGGCCAGGUAUUCUCUUCAAAGGCAUGUCCCCAGUGAUGAAUCUUCUCCAACCAGGACACACACACACACACACACACACACACACACACACACUCCUGUAGCUGCCAGUCAGUGGAUUCUAGAGCCCUCACAAAUUACCCAGUUGUGAAUGAUUGGACCUACAGUAUAGAGACUAAAGCUUCAACAAACAAGCAUGGGGAGUUGUGCUUAAUAACUAAACCAAAAUAAACAUUUGAACA